CAGCCGCCACGGUAAUACGGAGGAUCCAAGCGUUAUCCGGAAUCAUUGGGUUUAAAGGGUCCGUAGGCGGUUUAGUAAGUCAGUGGUGAAAGCCCAUCGCUCAACGGUGGAACGGCCAUUGAUACUGCUGAACUUGAAUUAUUAGGAAGUAACUAGAAUAUGUAGUGUAGCGGUGAAAUGCUUAGAGAUUACAUGGAAUACCAAUUGCGAAGGCAGGUUACUACUAAUUGAUUGACGCUGAUGGACGAAAGCGUGGGGAGCGAACAGGAUUAGAUACCCCAGUAGUCCCUGUCUCUUAUAC
rnacentral:rRNA from 1 species